rnacentral:rRNA from 1 species
AGAGUUUGAUCAUGGCUCAGGACGAACGCUGGCGGUGUGCUUCACACAUGCAAGUCGAACGAGGUAGCAAUACCUAGUGGCGGACGGGUGAGUAACGCGUGGGAAUCUGCCUUAGAGUGGGGAAUAACUGACCGAAAGGUCAGCUAAUACCGCAUAUGCCGCAAGGUAAAAGGAGCAAUUCGCUUUAAGAUGAGCCCGCGUCCGAUUAGCUAGUUGGUAAGGUAAAGGCUUACCAAGGCUACGAUCGGUAGGUGGUCUGAGAGGAUGAUCACCCACAAUGGGACUGAGACACGGCCCAUACUCCUACGGGAGGCAGCAGUGGGGAAUUUUGUGCAAUGGGCGAAAGCCUGACACAGCGACACCGCGUGAGCGAAGAAGCCCUUUGGGGUGUAAAGCUCUGUCAGCAGGGACGAAAUCAAUGACGGUACCUGCAGAGGAAGCAUCGGCUAACUACGUGCCAGCAGCCGCGGUAAGACGUAGGAUGCGAGCGUUGUCCGGAUUUAUUGGGCGUAAAGAGUUCGUAGGCGGUUUGUUAAGUCUGGUGUUAAAGACUGGGGCUCAACCCUGGGAGUGCAUUGGAUACUGGCAGACUCGAGUGUGUUAGAGGCGAGUGGAAUUCCCAGUGUAGCGGUGAAAUGCGUAGAUAUUGGGAAGAACACCGGUGGCGUAAGCGACUCGCUGGGACACUACUGACGCUGAGGAACGAAAGCUAGGGGAGCGAAUGGGAUUAGAUACCCUAGUAGUCC